AAGACAUCGAUCAAUAUACCGGUGUCGAAGGAAUACUCUAUGAUGAAAAUGUCCUCUUCAACCUUAUUGGAAUUGGACAAUUUGAUUUUACUCAAGCACAAAAGAGAGCUCCCAUCAAAGGAAUUUUUCCGAAAUUUCGUUUGAUUCUUUAUGUUGUCACUCGGAUUCUUAGACCAAGAAAAAGCAAUCAUACUACAAUUGGCCGAGAAGACGCAAAGAUUAUGCAUGCUAUUAUUUCCAAAGCACGCAUAAAUUGGUGUAAAUUUGUUCUUACAC
rnacentral:lncRNA from 1 species